rnacentral:lncRNA from 1 species
AUGGAAUCCUGGUUUUCAUUUGGAGAGCUUUCACAGGAGAACAGCUGCUGUUGCCGUACACGUGGCAUUUCCACCAAGAAAAAUCCCCCUUGCACAGCAAGACACAGGAAGGGGGGCUCUCGAGCAUCAGCCGCCGAGCAACAAAUAACAACCGUAGGAGACUGUGCUAGCAUGCAGUGGCACGUUGUGUUAGUUCAGGAAGAACAGAUUCGGGCCUGUUCGCUGCACGAACUGAAGAGCAAUAUGUCUGCAAGAUGAUAAGAAAGCUCCGGCUUUGGAAAAGACCAAGAUAAAGGCCAGAGCUGCAUAACUUGUUUAAGAUGACAAUCGUGGAAACUGUGGGAUUAAGAGCCACAACCCUCCUGCAUAUUUUAGAAGACUCUUCAGCAAAAGGCGGGCACUCGGUGAAAUAUGUUACAACCAGGGACCGAUGGAAGGCAAAAAUUCUGCUUUUGGAAAGCUCCAUAAUUAAAGAGGAGGUAGUCCUGACAGGACAAACGUUCCUGAUAAACUUCGAAUACUAUUCUGGAUUUUUGCCUGGAUGCCUCUAAGUAAUAGAAGACUUGAACCUGCAGUUACAAUGCACAGACCUGAUGAACUGGUGAAAACUAAAUGCUCAAAAACUAGGUGGACCAGUUGUGUGAUUUAGUUUAGAGGGAUUUUAUUUGUUCACACAACGGCACCCAGAAAAACAAAACCAGAAACACCCAGGUUCAUAACAGAAUUCUGUACCUUGUAGACUUUUGGAGAGAACAUAAGAAAGCUUUUUGAAUAGGUUUAACAUGUUUGCUGUGCAAAGUUUCAGUAAACAUUGAUGUUAUAACACCAAAUUAGGUAGCAACAAAUGGUACAGUAUAUGUUUCACAUACUGUUAUGUCUGCCAUUGAAAAUUCAGUAUUUUACUGCUCUACCUAAGCAAAUUAUCCCAAAGACUCUCUGUAGAGUGUGUAAAAGGAACAGGAGAGUAGGAGUAUGAUUCUUCUUGUUAAAAAGAUGUUUGCCCUUCUGAUGCCAAGCAGGCUUCCUACACGGGGAGAAAAAACCUCACUCAAUUUUCCACCAUAUAUUUAUUUGAUCUUUGGUGCCGCAACAAUCUCAACAUAUUUAAAUCCAGCAAGGAAUAGGCAACUGUGGAGUACCAUUUGAGUUCACCACUAAAUCUCAACAGCACACUUCCUGUUGUACAAAGUGAAAUCAUAAUAUUGGGCUCGCUGUCUAUUUUAAGGUCCUUAAAAGCCCCUUGACUUAGCUCUCAGUA